GUAGUAGCUUAGUGGUAGAGCAUCUGCCUUGCAUGCAGAAGACCCUGGGUUCAAACCCCAGCAUCUCCA